rnacentral:miRNA from 2 species
GUAGGUAACGACUGAUGGGAAC